rnacentral:lncRNA from 1 species
CGUAUUGCAUGAGUGUUGAUUGUGUGUAUAUGUAUGGUUUUCUAGGGUUGGUAUGCACAUAGUAAGAAAGGACUAGUCUUGACAUGGCAAAGUUCGUGGAGGGUUAGGUAUGCAUUUGGAAGCUUUGGGCAACAUAUGAAUUUAUGACUUUGGAGGAUUUGAAAGGUGUCUUGUGGAUGAAAAAAAAGAAUGUGGUUUAGAAGGAUUAAUUGACUUUGGUCAACUGUUUGACCAAAAAGUUAACAGUUGACCAAAAGUCAACCCUAAGUCUUUACAUGUAAGUUUGUGUAUAAUGUUGUAAUUUGGAUUUUUAUAAUGUAAUGGAUGUUUUGGUAAUGAAAUAGACCUUGAAUUGAAAUGAA